rnacentral:rRNA from 1 species
UACGUAGGGGGUAAGCGUUGUCCGGAUUGACUGGGCGUAAAGGGAGCGUAGGCGGUUUGGUAAGUCAAAUGUGAAAGCCCGCAGCUUAACUGUGGAACUGCAUUUGAUACUGCUAGACUUGAGUUCAGGAGAGGUAAGUAGAAUUCCUAGUGUAGCGGUGGAAUGCGUAGAUAUUAGGAGGAAUACCAGUGGCGAAGGCGGCUUGCUGGAAUGACACUGACGCUGAGGCUCGAGAGCGUGGGAAGCAAAC